rnacentral:rRNA from 1 species
CGGCGAGUGAAGCGGCAACAGCUCAAAUUUGAAAUCUGAGGUCCUUUGGGCUUCCGAGUUGUAGUUUGCAGAGGGAGCCUCGGAGGGCGUGCCGGCCCAAGUGCCUUGGAACAGGAUACCGCAGAGGGUGAGAGUCCCGUAUCCGGCCGGUGGCGCGCUCCGUGUGAGGCCUCUUCGACGAGUCGAGUUGUUUGGGAAUGCAGCUCCAAGCGGGUGGUAAAUUCCAUCUAAAGCUAAAUACUGGCCAGAGACCGAUAGCGAACAAGUAGAGUGAUCGAAAGAUGAAAAGCACUUUGAAAAGAGAGUCAAACAGUACGUGAAAUUGUUGAAAGGGAAGCGCAUGGGGGCAGACUUGGCCGCGGGGUUCAGGGUGCGUUCUCGCGCCUGCACUUCCCCGCGGACAGGCCAGCAUCGGUUCUGGGGGCCGGACAAAGGCGCCGGGAAGGUGGCAGUCUUCGGGCUGUGUUAUAGCCCGGCGCGCAAUGCGGCC